AUUGAACGCUGGCGGCAGGCCUAACACAUGCAAGUCGAACGAGUGGCGGACGGGUGAGUAAUGUCUGGGAAACUGCCCGAUGGAGGGGGAUAACUACUGGAGACGGUAGCUAAUACAGCAUACCAUCGGAUGUGCCCCGAUGGGGUUAGCUAGUGGGUGGGGUAACGGCUCACCUAGGCGACGAUCCCUCGCUGGUAUGAGAGGAUGACCAGCCACACUGGAACUGAGACACGGUCCAGACUCCUACGGGAGGCAGCAGUGGGGAAUAUUGCACAAUGGGCGAAAGCCUGAUGCAGCCAUGCCGCGUGUAUGAAGAAGGCCUUCGGGUUGUAAAGUACUUUCAGCGAGGAGGCGUUACUCGCAGAAGAAGCACCGGCUAACUCCGUGCCAGCAGCCGCGGUAAUAC
rnacentral:rRNA from 1 species